AGCCCAAAAACAGGUCCCUAGCCCAACCCAAACCAGACUACAUUCAAAUCAGAUUAACCCAAGUUUCUGACUCAGAUUCAGACCAUAACCAAAACCCAUUCACUCAAACCCAGAUCAAACCCAAUUCACGGAGUAGGUGGAACCGGUUCACAGUCUAAACCCAGUUCAAGGUCUGGUUCACAAGUGAGGCACGGAUUUCAAAGCAAG
rnacentral:lncRNA from 1 species